UCGUCGAUGUAAUUAGGAAGUGUUACAUUUAACCACUCUAACCUUUGGUCUGAUACAUCUGCAUAAGAUAACUAAUAGUGGCGUCGACGUUGCAAAACCUCGGAUCACCUGCUUCCUUCAAAAACCUCAAAGAUGCCGUAACUAAUGGUGAAAAUAUUUGAAUGGCUCGCAGCACAUUCAUUUUCUCGAAAUUCGAAGGGUACAAACGCUUCCUGGUUAGAUGAAAUAACACCUUCGGAAGAGGACAUUUCCCUGUCUAAAAAUAAACUCCUCGCAUUCUUCACUGCGUGACAA